UACGAAGGGGGCUAGCGUUGUUCGGAAUCACUGGGCGUAAAGCGUAUGUAGGCGGAUCGUUAAGUCGGGGGUGAAAUCCCUCGGCUCAACCGAGGAACUGCAUCCGAUACUGGCGGGCUUGAAUCCGGGAGAGGGAUGUGGAAUUCCAGGUGUAGCGGUGAAAUGCGUAGAUAUCUGGAGGAACACCGGUGGCGAAGGCGGCAUCCUGGACCGGUAUUGACGCUGAGGCGCGAAAGCUAGGGGAGCAAACGGG
rnacentral:rRNA from 1 species